rnacentral:tRNA from 1 species
ACCCGAGUGGCGAAAUGGUAAACGCUCUGAAUUCAAAAUUCAGUGAUUAUAAAUAAAAAUCUUAUGGGUUCGAAUCUCAUCUCGGGUA